GACGAACGCUGGCGGCGUGCCUAACACAUGCAAGUCGAACAGAGUAAGAAGCUUCGGUUUUUUACUUAGUGGCGAACGGGUGAGUAACGCGUGAGGAACCUGCCUUUCAGUGGGGGACAACGGUUGGAAACGACUGCUAAUACCGCAUAACACUAUCGGAUGGCAUCAUCUGAUAGUCAAAGAUUUAUCGCUGAAAGAUGGCCUCGCGUCUGAUUAGAUAGUUGGUGGGGUAACGGCCUACCAAGUCGACAAUCAGUAGCCGGACUGAGAGGUUGAACGGCCACAUUGGGACUGAGAUACGGCCCAG
rnacentral:rRNA from 1 species